GUUAUUUUCUUUUUAAAUCAGAGGGCCAGCUUUCAAUCAACAUUUUCUUUCCUUCUGGUUUCAGGUCUGGUUGGUUUCCAAUACGGCAGAUGCAUCAGUAGGUCUUUGGAAAAACUGUACCAACGUUAGCUGCAGUGACAGCCUGUCAUAUGCCAGUGAAGAUGCCCUCAAGACAGUGCAGGCCUUCAUGAUUCUCUCUAUCAUCUUCUGUGUCAUUGCCCUCCUGGUCUUCGUGUUCCAGCUCUUCACCAUGGAGAAGGGAAACCGGUUCUUCCUCUCAGGGGCCACCACACUGGUGUGCUGGCUGUGCAUUCUUGUGGGGAUGUCCAUCUACACUAGUCGUUAUGCGAAUCGUGAUGGAACGCAGUAUCACCACGGCUAUUCCUACAUCCUGGGCUGGAUCUGCUUCUGCUUCAGCUUCAUCAUCGGCGUUCUCUAUCUGGUCCUGAGAAAGAAAUAAGGCCGGACGAGUUCAUGGGGAUCUGGGGGGUGGGGAGGAGGAAGCCGUUGAAUCUGGGAGGGAAGUGGAGGUUGCUGUACAGGAAAAACCGAGAUAGGGGAGGGGGGAGGGGGAAGCAAAGGGGGGA
rnacentral:sRNA from 1 species